rnacentral:rRNA from 1 species
UGGGGAAUUUUGGACAAUGGGCGCAAGCCUGAUCCAGCAAUGCCGCGUGAGUGAAGAAGGCCUUCGGGUUGUAAAGCUCUUUUGUCAGGGAAGAAACGGUGGACUCUAAUACAGAUCACUAAUGACGGUACCUGAAGAAUAAGCACCGGCUAACUACGUGCCAGCAGCCGCGGUAAUACGUAGGGUGCAAGCGUUAAUCGGAAUUACUGGGCGUAAAGCGUGCGCAGGCGGUUGUGCAAGACAGAUGUGAAAUCCCCGGGCUCAACCUGGGAAUUGCAUUUGUGACUGCACGGCUAGAGUGUGUCAGAGGGGGGUAGAAUUCCACGGUGUAGCAGUGAAAUGCGUAGAGAUGUGGAGGAAUACGAUGGCGAAGGCAGCCCCUGGGAUAACACUGACGCUCAUGCACCGAAAGCGUGGGGAGCAAAACAGGAUUAGAUACCCUGGUAGUCCACGCCCUAAAACGAUGUCUACUAGUUGUCGGGACUUAAUUGUCUUGGUAACGCAGCUAACG